CGACAGGAAGUUUUGGAAGAGAGAUUUCGGAACAUGAUUUGAAAUCGUGGAGCUAUUGAAUACACAUCGCCUCGUGAUCAAUUUGAUAGAUUAUUAACGUUUACUAAUACCUAAAGUUGGAUUACAAAAUUUCCAUAGAUGGAUAUUUUGGGUAUAUAUGGACCGAUUUAAUCGAAAAAAAGACCCAAUAGUGAUGUUUAUGGGACAUAUAGGAGUGCCAACAAAGAAGCUUGUCAAAGUGGCACUGACUCCGACUGGGAGCCACCUUUGUCAACUUGUCCAUCCCCCUCUGAAGCUGGUCACAUCCAGCUGUACCCCUGCUGUCUCUGGCUCCACACCUCCCGGGCCAUCUAGAGGUGUGAAGGCACUGACAAAGAAGCGGAGGAGGGGAAGUGUGCCACCCGCUAACAGAGGGACAGAAGGGCGUUGGCACACCGUCCUAGAAGAUGAUGUGGAACCACCCCAACCAACUUUUAGGCCGAAAAGGAAGCCAGGAC
ensembl:lncRNA